UCUUUGAAACUAGGAGGAGGAAGAGAGAAAAAGAAAAAAAAAUAGAACAGAGAGUAGAGAGAGAGGAGCACCAAGCAAGAGAGAGACAGAUUGUUGUGUUUGGUUGCCCAGAAAAACUGCGGAUUUGAGUAGCCAUUGCAAGGGAUAUUUCAAGUUUCAACCUUUUGCAUUCCAAGUGUUUGUGGUUUUGACUAAUAGAGGUGACUAACAAACCCUUUUUGCACUCCAUCAUCUUUUCCAAAGAAUGCCCAUGAACACUGAAGUUACAAAUCAUCAAAUUAUUUGCCUUCAACCUAGAUCCAGAUAUAUGAAGCAAGAAUUUUCACAGAAGCAACAAACCCAGAAAGAAAAUGCAGAAAAUUUGGGUAA